rnacentral:rRNA from 1 species
GACGAACGCUGGCGGCGUGCUUAAUACAUGCAAGUCGAACGGACAGGCCCUGCUUUUGUGGGGUGCUCGAGUGGCGAACGGGUGAGUAACACGUGAGUAACCUGCCCCUGUCUUUGGGGUAACUUCAGGAAACUGGGGCUCAUACCGGAUAGGAGCUCCUGCUGCGUGGUGGGGGUUGGAAAGUUUCGGCGGUUGGGGAUGGACUCGCGGCUUAUCCGCUUGUUGGUGGGGUAGUGGCUUACCAAGGCUUUGACGGGUAGCCGGCCUGAGAGGGGGACCGGCCACAAUGCGACUAAGAGACGGCCCAGACGCCUACGGGAGGCAGCAGUGGGGAAUAUUGCGGAGUGGGCCGGAGCCUGAGGUAGCAACGCCGCGUGCGGGAUGACGGCUUUCGAGUUGUAAACCGCUUUCGCCUGUGACAAAGCGUGAGUGACGGUAAUGAGUAAGGAAGCACCGGCUAACUACGUG